rnacentral:rRNA from 1 species
CCUACGGGUGGCAGCAGUGGGGAAUAUUGGACAAUGGGCGAAAGCCUGAUCCAGCCAUGCCGCGUGUGUAAUGAAGGCCUUCGGGUUGUAAAGCACUUUCAUUGGGGAAGAAAGCCUUGGGGCUAAUACCCUCGAGGAAGGACAUCACCCACAGAAGAAGCACCGGCUAACUCCGUGCCAGCAGCCGCGGUAAUACGGAGGGUGCGAGCGUUAAUCGGAAUUACUGGGCGUAAAGCGCGCGUAGGCGGUCUGAUAAGCCGGUUGUGAAAGCCCCGGGCUCAACCUGGGAACGGCAUCCGGAACUGUCAGGCUAGAGUGCAGGAGAGGAAGGUAGAAUUCCCGGUGUAGCGGUGAAAUGCGUAGAGAUCGGGAGGAAUACCAGUGGCGAAGGCGGCCUUCUGGACUGACACUGACGCUGAGGUGCGAAAGCGUGGGUAGCAAACAGGAUUAGAUACCCUUGUAGUC